CAUCUGGAGGGCCAGAGUUUGAGGAAGCCUGCUAUAGAGCAUAAUUGGUUUAAUUACUUAUGGGUUUGCUGAUCCACCAAUAGCAGGGCACUAUAGUGUAGAUGUGCAGGCCUUGGCCAAAAACAUAGCGAAAACACGUACACGUACACACAUAUACAUGUCUUUUCUUUGGUGUUUUUCAGCAAGUAGAGGUCUAGUUUCCAUCAAAUCCUUCAGAUAUCUUAUUAUAAUGACUGUGGAUGUCAGUGUAAAAUGCAGUGUUUAUGUGGGUAAGUGACCACUCUUCCUUAUGAUAAAGCAAAUACAGGCCAACAUGUGAAAACACUGCCUGCAUCUUAUAUCUACACAGCAUGGUCCUAACUUGUCUACGAGAAAUAGAAACUGUUUCAACCUCAUAAUAUAAGACUAACAACUGUGGUAAUUUUGUAAAGAAAACACGAUUUAAAUAAAGGCCUUUGUUUUUUUUAUUGUUUAUAACUGCCUGAGGUAUUAAGUGCACAACUGGGGCCAUUGUACCAAUGAGUUUGCAUUUUAAGGUAGUAUUUAGUGUGGUCUGCAGUCAGUAGAUUCAUAAUUCCAGGUUUUACCUAAUUUUUAGAUUUUUUUUAAAAAGUAGAUUGUAAGCUUUUUUGAAGCAGAAUAAUCUUGUUCGCACUGUUGAAAUAAUAUGCCUGGGACUUGUCUACUAUAUUGUUCUAUCACUAAUUGUCUAUAUGCUAAAAUUACUGUGUAC